UACGAAGGGGGCAAGCGUUGUUCGGAAUUACUGGGCGUAAAGGGCGCGUAGGCGGCUUACCAAGUCAGGCGUGAAAUUCCCGGGCUCAACCUGGGGGCUGCGCUUGAUACUGGUGAGCUUGAAUGCGGGAGAGGAUAGUGGAAUUCCGAGUGUAGAGGUGAAAUUCGUAGAUAUUCGGAAGAACACCAGUGGCGAAGGCGGCUCACUGGACCGUUGUUGACGCUGAGGUGCGAAAGCGUGGGGAGCAAACAGG
rnacentral:rRNA from 1 species